UGUAGGGUUUCGUUUCACUCUCCCGCAGUCGCUGACCCUGAUGGGUAAGGAGAGGGAGGAUGGGUGCCGCGUCGUCGAUGUCUGUAUCGUCCAUAGCGUCCUUGGUAGAUGCAUCUAUGGUUCAAACUUAUGGUUCGGGUUUCUGAGGGUUUGGGGAGAAGGAUAGGGGAUCUGACCUCCGUUUUGCGCGAGAACAGAGUCGAGAUCUAUGCGGAGAACGUUCCAAAUAGAGGGAUUUCUCUUACAUAAGCUUCUGGGAAGGCCUUGCAGUGAGGAGACGGAGGUAUAAGGGUCUGCACGAGCUAAGCAAAACCAGCUAAGGGGGAUGGUCUACAAGCGAUGGCGAGAAGGGUUGGGAGUGACCCUUCAGGGGCAAGGGGGAUUGGCUAGUGGGGCGGAGACACGAUUAGAUGGCGGGCACAGGGCGAUAGUCGAUAGGAGUAACAUGGCAGGCACAGGGCGACGUAAAAUUUCAGACAAUGCAUACCCUUUCAAGAAACAAUGCAUUUUCUCCAUUUGUGUUAUAUUCCAUUGGAAAGCACAGGAUACUAUUCAUUAUUC